CCUACGGGUGGCUGCAGUGAGGAAUAUUGGUCAAUGGACGAGAGUCUGAACCAGCCAAGUAGCGUGAAGGAUGACUGCCCUAUGGGUUGUAAACUUCUUUUAUAUGGGAAUAAAAUGUUCCACGUGUGGGAUUUUGUAUGUACUUUAUGAAUAAGGAUCGGCUAACUCCGUGCCAGCAGCCGCGGUAAUACGGAGGAUCCGAGCGUUAUCCGGAUUUAUUGGGUUUAAAGGGAGCGUAGGUGGAUUGUUAAGUCAGUUGUGAAAGUUUGCGGCUCAACCGUAAAAUUGCAGUUGAAACUGGCAGUCUUGAGUACAGUAGAGGUGGGCGGAAUUCGUGGUGUAGCGGUGAAAUGCUUAGAUAUCACGAAGAACUCCGAUUGCGAAGGCAGUUCACUAGACUGCAACUGACACUGAGGCUCGAAAGUGUGGGUAUCAAACAGGAUUAGAUACCCUUGUAGUC
rnacentral:rRNA from 1 species